GACGAACGCUGGCGGCGUGCUUAACACAUGCAAGUCGAGCGGAAAGGCCCUUCGGGGUACUCGAGCGGCGAACGGGUGAGUAACACGUGAGUAACCUGCCCCAGACUUUGGGAUAACCCUCGGAAACGGGGGCUAAUACCGGAUACGACACAGCUUCGCAUGGGGUCUGUGUGGAAAGUUUUUCGGUUUGGGAUGGGCUCGCGGCCUAUCAGCUUGUUGGUGGGGUGAUGGCCUACCAAGGCGACGACGGGUAGCCGGCCUGAGAGGGCGACCGGCCACACUGGGACUGGGACACGGCCCAGACGCCUACGGGAGGCAGCAGUGGGGAAUAUUGCACAAUGGGCGGAAGCCUGAUGCAGCGACGCCGCGUGAGGGAUGACGGCCUUCGGGUUGUAAACCUCUUUCAGCAGGGACGAAGCGUAAGUGACGGUACCUGCAGAAGAAGCGCCGGCCAACUACGU
rnacentral:rRNA from 1 species